AGAUUAGGAUUGGGACCUCUCUCUCCCGUGAAAAUAUCUUCUCUCUCCCUCAUUCCGCUACUCUUUUUGGUGCCGCCGCCACCCCCUCCCUCUCGGCCGCAGCCUCCUCUCCUCCGCCUCCACCACCUCCUCCUCCCCUGCCUCUCCUCCGCCCAUGUCUCCUCACCCCCUCCCUCUGCCUCCGUGCUCAAAAGGAGGAGCCGGGGUCGCUGCCGCUGCGCCUCUACAUCGUCCUCACACGCCGUCGUCCUUGCCAUUCUGCCGGUGGAGAGCUCCUCCAUGAUGGCAUCCACCGGAUCUUGCCGGCCCAGAUCCACACGCCUCCUCCUUCCUCGGCAGCUCGUGGAGCCCUAUGAUGCGUCAACGACGCGUGACUGCACUAGGUCGUGCUUCCCGCCGCUCCUAGUCACCGGGCGCCGUCCCGCCGACGCGGCCCACCGCACGCUGCCACCAGCGUCUUCUUCAUGGCGGUAGAGGCGCAGCUUGGGCCCGGGGAUCCUGCCGGCGCCGGCUUCAUCUCCAUGAGAGGGCCGAAUCAGGAUGGAUCCAAGCUGCCGACGUCUUUGCUGCCAUGGACGAACCCUCAUCCAGCGACCAAGGAAGGCAGGAGAAAUCCCUCCUCCUUGCAUUGUUGCAUCACUGCAUCCCCACGGUAGUCCAGGAGGAGCUCGACUGCCUGCUUUGAGAAGAAGAGAUGGCAGGAGGAUGAGGCAUGGGCUUGACAAGAAGUGGGUUGGAGCAAGAAGUAGAGCAGACAAUGCCCCUCUCUUCAUUGGCAUCUGCACAGCCAAAUCAAGGACCUAAGCUCCUGGAACCGCCCUCCUAUGCCCUGCUCCUCUCGCAUUGGCGCAAAUUCGGCUCCUCCCCGCCUCCGUCUCCACGUGUGCAGCGACAACCCCGGGAGGAGCUCAAGCCGCAGAGGUGGUCCAUGGUGUCGUCGCCGUCAUCCUCGGCAGGAGAAGCGUGGGCUGCAGAGAUGGCCGGAUCCGUCCGAUCCUUGCGCUGCCGUCCGUCCACCAUCGAGGAUAAUGUGUUUGUUCAGCUGAUCUGUAUAGUUUCAAUACCGGGUUGUUAAGGAGAAUGCAGAUGAUGCAUAUUCCACGAGUUGCAGACCCCCCAACAGCAAAUUCAGUCCUACGUUUUUUAUGUUAUGCAAAUUCCUGGAGGGUGUUCCAUGGUCGUCAUGAGUAGCAGCUGCUGAUAUUGCUGCUUUCACCUCCGCGUCGGCCCCGGGCAAAGCUGCAACCUUCUCUUCCCCCUCCCCCUAAUUCUCCUUAUUUCUUCAUACAUUUGGUUAUAUUCUAUUUACAUCCCAAAGGUUUACAAUUAACUGUACUACUGUGUUAUUUUAUUAGUAGUCAAGAGAAGUAUGCAGUGUGAUACUUAGUGUCGUAUUCAUUGAAUUUUUUUGAUCAUUCAAAGGUUACACAGAGAUGGCUGGCUCCGUCCUGCUCCGGUGAUGGCUUCCAUCCACCCGAUGAACAGGACUACAUGGGAGAUGUAUGACGACCUAGCAAACCCCCGUCUGGUCAGCAGGUACAAUGCCCACCUUUGCUCGAUUUGUGACUUUGGGAGGAAUUGGAGAUAGGAGAUGCGGAGAGAGGUUGCUGGAUGGCGAUGCAGGCGUAUUAGCGCCAACUCAAAUGCCUGCAACUUGUGAGGAGUGAUUUCGUUUAUUUACCUGUGAUGUAUUAAUAUCUCUAGAAUCUUGGGAAGAAGCUAUUCACCAUGAGGGUUUUAAUUCUAUGUCAUAUUUCAUUUAAUUUUGCUCAAGUUCGCAGCCUCUCUGUUAGGCACUUUCAGUUUGUAACUCGAAGCAUCUCAUUUUCUGGUAUUUGCAUGUUCAGGUCAAGAUGUACAUUCUGGCUGGGCCAAAUGGUCAGUCCACUGUAUAUAGUUGCUUCAUACUGUCUAAAACUGUUUAGCUGAUAAGAACAUUUAAGCAAGUUGUGUUUUGUACCAUACUGCAUCGAAAUUUUCAUCGAGAAAUAUUUUAAGACUUCACAGUUAUUUCAAUCUGCCUUCACAAAGUAGAGUAAAUGAGAAAUUUAUUCUAUUGGUUACAAAUCAGUGACUUCUGGUACUUCAAAGUUUAAAGCAGUAUACAGUAUGCAAUGGUCUGUAGAGUGCAAUUGCUGAAAUUUCUCAGUACUCCCUUCUGUAUUUUGCUUUUUCUUGACUAAGGCCGUACCAAAUUAUGGUUCAAACUUAUGUGUAUUCACACAUUGGAUGUUGGCCUAACAGAGGUCAUAAUGUAAAAUAGUCAGGGGGUCUGCUCUCUGCCUCGUGUGGAUGCAACAUGCUUGUCGAAAUUUAAUUCUGUAAAAGAGAAAUACUGAUAUAACGCAAUGAUCAAUGUGGAGUAGGAUAGUUAUAGAGUUCUUCCUCGGUUUUCAUUGAGCAAAGAUUGGACAUGUUUGACUCUUCUGUUGCCGUAAUUACCUCUCUAGGUUUGGAGAAAUUUAUGAUCACCAUGCACAUCCCCAUUACUUCCACUUAUGAUUUUGUAUCUAUAUGUAAAGUCAUUUGUCCUGAAAUUCUAUGCAGAAGUAUUCUGAUACUUUUCCUUAUGAGCCGGUGGCAGCCAAUGAGGGUUCCCCAUCCGAUGCUUGGUGCGGAGAAGGGGCCGUUCUCCUCUCAUGCAAGCAGCCCAAGUGCUGCCUGAUCCUUCCGUCCAAGAUGGAGGUGGUGAACAUCAAUGUGGCGACGCCUGAUGCGUACACGAGGCCGCUAUGUGUUGUGUCUGAUGUAAUUUGGAACUCUGGAAUUUUCAUGGCUGAAUGUUUGUCUUUGUGCUUGAAUUCAUUUGUGUUUGAUGUACUAUGAAUUAAUGAUUAGCUUUCCGAUUGACU